CAGUCGAGCGGAUGAAGGGAGCUUGCUCCCGGAUUCAGCGGCGGACGGGUGAGUAAUGCCUAGGAAUCUGCCUGGUAGUGGGGGAUAACGUCCGGAAACGGGCGCUAAUACCGCAUACGUCCUGAGGGAGAAAGCGGGGGAUCUUCGGACCUCACGCUAUCAGAUGAGCCUAGGUCGGAUUAGCUAGUUGGUGGGGUAAAGGCCUACCAAGGCGACGACCCGUAACUGGUCUGAGAGGAUGAUCAGUCACACUGGAACUGAGACACGGUCCAGACUCCUACGGGAGGCAGCAGUGGGGAAUAUUGGACAAUGGGCGAAAGCCUGAUCCAGCCAUGCCGCGUGUGUGAAGAAGGUCUUCGGAUUGUAAAGCACUUUAAGUUGGGAGGAAGGGCAGUAAGCUAAUACCUUGCUGUUUUGACGUUACCAACAGAAUAAGCACCGGCUAACUUCGUGCCAGCAGCCGCGGUAAUACGAAGGGUGCAAGCGUUAAUCGGAAUUACUGGGCGUAAAGCGCGCGUAGGUGGUUCAGCAAGUUGGAUGUGAAAUCCCCGGGCUCAACCUGGGAACUGCAUCCAAAACUACUGAGCUAGAGUACGGUAGAGGGUGGUGGAAUUUCCUGUGUAGCGGUGAAAUGCGUAGAUAUAGGAAGGAACACCAGUGGCGAAGGCGACCACCUGGACUGAUACUGACACUGAGGUGCGAAAGCGUGGGGAGCAAAAGGAUUAGAUACCCUGGUAGUCCACGCCGUAACGAUGUCCAACUAGCCGUU
rnacentral:rRNA from 1 species